rnacentral:misc_RNA from 1 species
AGUUGGUUCCCAUAGCAAAGAGAUGACGCUUGGCACUUUUGAAAGAUCUGUUGUCGAACAGGCACGUUCCAACGAUCUUAAGACAAUGGAGCUUGGCCUUGCAAUGAGGAAAUUAAAGUUGAAAGAGACACAGAUCGCACUCAAUUGUGACUUAAACAAUCUUGAGAGGUCAAAAUUGGCAAUGGGCAUAUCAAAAGCCUCUUUUAAGGCUGAGAAGUUCAAG